rnacentral:rRNA from 1 species
GACGAACGCUGGCGGCGUGCUUAACACAUGCAAGUCGAACGGAAAGACCCUGCUUUUGUGGGGUGCUCGAGUGGCGAACGGGUGAGUAACACGUGAGUAACCUGCCCUUGACUUUGGGAUAACUUCAGGAAACUGGGGCUAAUACCGGAUAGGAGCUCCUGCUGCAUGGUGGGGGUUGGAAAGUUUCGGCGGUUGGGGAUGGACUCGCGGCAUAUCAGCUUGUUGGUGGGGUAGUGGCUUACCAAGGCUUUGACGGGUAGCCGGCCUGAGAGGGUGACCGGCCACAUUGGGACUGAGAGGCGGCCGAGACUACUACGGGAGGCAGCAGGGGGGAAUAUUGCACAAUGGGCGGAAGCGUGAUGCAGCAACGCCGCGUGCGGGAUGACGGCCUUCGGGUUGUAAACCGCUUUCGCCUGUGACGAAGCGUGAGUGACGGUAAUGGGUAAAGAAGCACCGGCUAACUACG